CCUACGGGUGGCAGCAGUGGGGAAUAUUGCACAAUGGGGGAAACCCUGAUGCAGCGACGCCGCGUGAGUGAAGAAGUAUUUCGGUAUGUAAAGCUCGAUCAGCAGGGAAGAAAAUGACGGUACCUGACGAAGAAGCCCCGGCUAACGACGUGCCAGCAGCCGCGGUAAGACGUAGGGGGCAAGCGUUAUCCGGAUUUACUGGGUGGAAAGGGAGCGUAGACGGCAGCGCAAGUCUGAAGUGAAAUCCCAUGGCUUAACCAUGGAACUGCUUUGGAAACUGUGCAGCUGGAGUGCAGGAGAGGUCAGCGGAAUUCCUAGUGUAGCGGUGACAUGCGUAGAUAUUAGGAGGAACACCAGUGGCGAAGGCGGCUUACUGGACUGUAACUGACGUUGAGGCUCGACAGCGUGGGGAGCAAACAGGAUUAGAUACCCGAGUAGUC
rnacentral:rRNA from 1 species